GUUACAGUUUCGCUUUAACAUGCGUAUUAUACAAUAUAUUAUACGUCGUAAUUAGGCACCGAGGUCGCAACAAGACUGUAUUGUAGUCUAGAUUAUUUUCGAUAAAAUUGGGAGAGUAGGUAAACGUACUGUUCGAGACGGGAAAUCAUGAAAUGAUCAAAUGAAUGAAUGACCGAAAACCAUUUUUUGGUACUCGUCUAAUAUGCUACCUACUGUAAAAUGGUAUCUACCAAAAAACUGUAUACGUGUAGUAUGCUACCUACCGACGGUAGGUUACCGUAGUUAUUUUUAUUUUAUUUAAUUUUAUUGUGAAAGUACAUUUGAUUCAUUACGAUAAAAUAUGUAGAUGAAAUUGUGUCAAGUGAUGUUGACGAUAUUGAUGAUGGUUAUUCAACUCAAAAAAAUUACGGUACUCGCAUUCGAAGUCCGUGUAUGUGGUAAAAAUAUUAAUGGGAGUGUAGAACGAAGAUUUUUUAAAUUGGAAAAAAUAGAUAAGGGAACUUUAUUACCAAUAAUACAAAAUGAAAUAGAACUAAGAUCAAUGGCGAGCAUAUAGUACCUUAAUUCUUAAAAGAUAUAGGUUAUCAUCAUGAAACCGUCAAUCAUUCCUAGUUUUUUGUUAUAAAGUUGUUGUAAAAUAAUUUAAAAUUUAUUGUAAUAAUAAUGGUGUAUAGAAAUAUUAUAAAGUACUUUACAACAGUAAAUUAAUAAAUUAUUAUUUUUUUUUUUUUUUGGUAGGUAUCAUUUUACGGUAGUUAGCAUACUACACCAACGAAGUAGCGAUGACUUGGGCCAUGAUUAUACUCGCUACUCUUGCGUCAAGCAAUCGUAAUGAGUAACGAACUACGAGCGGGCACCGUGACAACUACAGAAAUAUUAUUCACAUUAGAUUUUUAGAAUAAUUUUUAUUCUAUAAGCCUUCCAAAUUUGGAUAAUUUAACUUAAACACCCAAGAUUUUUCAAUGUUUCAGCGGAAAUCUACAAUAUUUUUUUCUGGUACACAAUAUUGAAGUUAAUUUUUGCUAGGUACUUAAACUUCGAGAUGUCGAAAUGACAUUUUUACGAAUUUGAACUUAUAAAAAAUCACUCUUACACUUACCAAAAAAAAAUAAAUUUAAAAAUCUAAUGUCAUAUUCAAAAAUUAUAAACUCGAUUAUGCUCGAAAUUAAUUUUUAUUAAUUAUAAAGUGUUAAAAUUUUUAAUAGAACGAGGCGCUAAAAUCGAAAACUUACUGUGUAGCAAAAUAAAUCUAAAAUUGUUAUUCUAUCACUCCAACUUCAGCCAUUUAAAUCUCACAUAAAAAUACAUAUAAUUUUAUUUGUUAAAAUUAUUUUAAUUGUGUAUUUACACAACUACACCUCAUAUUAAUUUUUUAUAUUAGAAAUUAUAUUUAUAAGACAAUAGUAAAAGUUUAAAGUAGUUAAUUAGCAUUAUAAUUUCUCUUAUGUAUAUAACAUAAAGUACACUUAUUAUAUGUAAUGUUUUAAAAUAUAUGUUAUGCUUAUAAUAACUAAAAAGAAGAACAUGACAUGCAGUGUGGAAUGUGAACUUCUAUGUAUAGUGAACCUUAUUUAAUUAUAUUUUAUUAACCAAUAAACCCCUAGUCCUAACCUACACCCACCACCUAUUUAAGAAGUGGAGCUAUCGUUUUACAUGAUAUAAUAUGAGUUUGAUGCCAUUGAAGUUCUAGGGUUCAAACACAGUAUUAUCUAGUGAUUUAAUGUCUUGGUCACUAUUUUAAUCUUGUCAUUUAAAUAUACUUAUUUAAAACUAAUUAGAUAUGUAAGAAUUAUAAUCUAGUACCUACUUAUAGUAUCAUACCCAUUCCAUUAUUCCAAUAUAAAAUAAUUAUUCCUGGACAUUGAAAUAAUAUCAAUUAAAAUAUUAUGAACUAUUGAAGAACAAAUAAUAUUAAUAAUAAUGUAACCUUGACUCAAUAAUACAUUAUUUGA